ACGACGUGAUGAUAGAAUUCAUAAGUCUGUCAAUCCACUGAAAUACAUUUCAUGAUGUAAAGUGUGAAUCCCGACAGGUUCUGAUCGU
rnacentral:snoRNA from 1 species